rnacentral:lncRNA from 1 species
AUCAAACUGCAGUCAUAGUUUAUAAACGAAUGCCAAGAAGAAACUGUAUUUGAAAGAAUUCUCCUAGCCUUACUACAUGCAAUCCGAGUCUCCAAAAUACCAACUAUAUCUAUCUUUAGUAUAUUAAGGUAUGUACUAAUAUAUUUAUGUUUAUUCAGAGAGUUAAAUCCCCAUUGAUUCCAAGCUAGAAUCUCCAUACUUACUUCUUACCUCGUUUCCGCCCCCUCUUAGCUGCAGGAUGCGGCAUACUACCCUUCACAAUGAAAUCUCCCAAUGUAGCUCUUCCUGGAGUAUAGAUAGGAGGCUCACAAGGCUUCUCCAUAUCAACAACUUCAUCCACUACAUCUUUAGUGUGAUCAAAGUGAUUACUUUCAAGAAGAGUUUAUUCAACCAAUGCAACAAUAUGAUCAACCAGUUCCAUUCCAACAUCCUCAUUACCCUUAGCGAGAAAGCCUUGUGCCUCCACCUACAAAGAGGUUUUUGCAACAACAACUUGAUGGAAAGUCUAUACUAUCUCCACUCCAAAAGAAGCCUUGAUAGCAGAAGUCACCUCCCCUUCAGCCUGUGAUGCACUAGACCUCUCGGGUGAAGCCUCCCCUUGCAU